AGUUUUAAAAAUCAAUCACAUUUCGCACAGUAAUAAUAAUUGAAAAAUUGUCACCAUUGAUAGAGUGAAAAAGAUCAAUGAUUCCAAAAAUACCCGAUUCAGCAAACUCCUAUCUAAUCGAAUAUUAAAGCAGGGGACCUAUCAGCCUUAUAAGCCGAAAUACUCUUCCAAUUUUUCCUAUAGUCCUCAACAUUUUCCCUAAGACACUAAAAAGAAUAUUUAUAAAUAAAUUACAGCUGCAAUUAGAGAGAGGGGCUGUGUUGAAAAGAGAGGGAAAGAGAAAGAGCGCUAGGUGAGAAAUAAAAGAAAUUUCCCCAAGGGAAAUUCCGUUUCAUUCGAUUUUCAGCUGGCCAUGCGGUCGGCCCUCAUAUCUAACCAAACCCUAUACCUACAAACAUAUAUGCGCUCAGCUCGUCGCAGGGCGAAGCGAAUACACUCAUGCCCACACAAACACAAGCGCACACACACACGCGCUGAAAUUACACACGCAGGUACCUAGCUCGGAGAACAGCUGCGAGCAGUGAAAUAGAAAUAAGUGUAGAAAUGUAACAAAUACCAAAACUAACUUUAUUUUAAGUUUUGGUUGUAAGUCACAACAUCAUGUACUUAAAAAAUAAUGAAUUAUGUACAUAUAUUCCCCCACACUGAACAAUACUUUUAAUAACUUCUCAGUGAAUCAGCAAUAAAUGAAUGUUUAAAAAAUUCAA